rnacentral:sRNA from 1 species
CCCACGGCUUCGCCGUGGGCUACAUUCUAAUGCCGCUCCGCGGCU